rnacentral:rRNA from 1 species
AGCUCGUAGUCGAACUUCGUGGCUCUGUCAGCCGGUGCGCCUCCUUGGUGUNGACUUGGNUGAUGGAGCCUUACCUCCNGGGGNCCUNNUNAUGNCCUUUACUGGGUGGCGUCGCAAACCAGGACUUUUACUUUGAAAAAAUUAAAGUGUUCAAAGCAGGCCUUUGCCCGAAUACAUUAGCAUGGAAUAAUAAAAUAGGACGCGCGUUCCCAUUUUGUUGGUUUCUGAGAUCGCCGUAAUGAUUAAUAGGGAUAGUUGGGGGCAUUUGUAUUCCGUCGUCAGAGGUGAAAUUCNUGGAUUGCCGGAAGACAAACUACUGCGAAAGCAUUUGCCAAGGAUGUUUUCAUUGAUCAAGAACGAAGGAAGGGGGAUCGAAAACGAUUAGAUACCGUUGUAGUCUCUUCUGUAAACUAUGCCAAUUGGGGAUCGGUACAGGAUUUUUAAUGACUGUAUCGGCACCCGAAGAGAAAUCUUUAAAUGAGGUUCGGGGGGGAGUAUGGUCGCAAGGCUGAAACUUAAAGGAAUUGACGGAAGGGCACCACCANGUGUGGAGCCUGCGGCUUAAUUUGACUCAACACGGGGAAACUCACCAGGUCCAGACUCAAUAAGGAUUGACAGAUUGAUAGCUCUUUCUUGAUCUUGU